rnacentral:rRNA from 1 species
AACGGCUGAGUAACACGUGGGCAACCUGCCCUUUGCACUGGGAUAGCCUCGGGAAACCGAGGUUAAUACCGGAUACUCCAUAUUUGUCGCAUGGCGAAUAUGGGAAAGCUCCGGCGGCAAAGGAUGGGCCCGCGGCCUGUUAGCUAGUUGGUGGGGUAGUGGCCUACCAAGGCAAUGAUGGGUAGCCGGGUUGAGAGACCGACCGGCCAGAUUGGGACUGAGACACGGCCCAGACUCCUACGGGAGGCAGCAGUC